UACGAAGGGGGCUAGCGUUACUCGGAAUUACUGGGCGUAAAGGGCGCGUAGGCGGCUCUGUUAGUCAGGCGUGAAAUCCCCGGGCUCAACCUGGGAACUGCAGUCGAAACUGCAAAUCUUGAAUGUCUGAGAGGAUGGCGGAAUUCCCGGUGUAGUAGUGAAAUACGUAGAUAUCGGGAAGAACACCUGAGGCGAAGGCGGCUAUCUGGCGGUACAUUGACGCUAAGGCGCGAAAGCGUGGGGAGCAAACAGG
rnacentral:rRNA from 1 species